rnacentral:rRNA from 1 species
GACGAACGCUGGCGGCGUGCCUAAUACAUGCAAGUUGAGCGCUGAAGGUUGGUACUUGUACCAACUGGAUGAGCAGCGAACGGGUGAGUAACGCGUGGGGAAUCUGCCUUUGAGCGGGGGACAACAUUUGGAAACGAAUGCUAAUACCGCAUAAAAACUUUAAACACAAGUUUUAAGUUUGAAAGAUGCAAUUGCAUCACUCAAAGAUGAUCCCGCGUUGUAUUAGCUAGUUGGUGGGGUAAAGGCUCACCAAGGCGAUGAUACAUAGCCGACCUGAGAGGGUGAUCGGCCACAUUGGGACUGAGACACGGCCCAAACUCCUACGGGAGGCAGCAGUAGGGAAUCUUCGGCAAUGGACGAAAGUCUGACCGAGCAACGCCGCGUGAGUGAAGAAGGUUUUCGGAUCGUAAAACUCUGUUGGUAGAGAAGAACGUUGGUGGGAGUGGAAAGCUCAUCAAGUGACGGUAACUACCCAGAAAGGGACGGCUAACUACGUG